UUUAAGUUCAUAGAGAAACUCGUUGUCCAAACCUACGAUGGCGCAGCUGUAAUGGAAUGUAUCUGCUAUUUGUAUUUACAGCCAAGUCCCCUCCUGUUCCCUGAUUAAGCAGUGAUGACCACUCCACUCCACUACCAUCAACAUUCUCCUGACAUGAACUGAAGCCACGACUUCUCAUGUGCCCACACAUCCACUGGCACAUUGAGUGUUUCCCUUCCAAGCACUUAAAAUCCUGUCCAGCACUGGUCAAGCCUCUGAACAUCUCAACUCAUGCCUCAUAACCUGCUGUGAUCACUGCUGUGAUCCCUUUCCAACACUGAUGUCUUUGGGCGGAGCCGGGAGGGUCGUCAGCGAAAUGGGACACACGUGGGCCCGGGUGUGUCCCGGGGAUAAAUACACCUCUUCCUCAUUCAUUGAGGAGACUCUCUCCAUGCAGACACACUGUUAGAUUUUGGUUGUGACCGGUUUGUUUGUUUGCUUUGGCACCCUUCAUUAUCACAUCUAUGCAUGCAGCCACUCACACCAUUGUUUAUUGUAUAUAGGUUAGGUUAGUUAUUAAAUAUAUUUUUA